UACAGAGGUCCCAAGCGUUGUUCGGAUUCACUGGGCGUAAAGGGUGCGUAGGCGGUUGGGUAAGUCUGUCGUGAAAUCUCCGAGCCUAACUCGGAAACUGCGUCGGAUACUAUUCAACUCGAGGAAUGGAGGGGAGACUGGAAUUCUCGGUGUAGCAGUGAAAUGCGUAGAUAUCAAGCGGAACACCAGUGGCGAAGGCGAGUCCCUGGACAACUCCUGACACUGAUGCACGAAAGCUAGGGGAGCAAACAGG
rnacentral:rRNA from 1 species